rnacentral:rRNA from 1 species
CACGUAGGGCGCAAGCGUUGUCCGGAAUUAUUGGGCGUAAAGAGCUCGUAGGUGGUUUGUUACGUCUGCUGUGAAAACCUAGGGCUUAACCCUGGGCUUGCAGUGGAUACGGGCAGACUAGAGGUAGGUAGGGGAGAAUGGAAUUCCUGGUGUAGCGGUGAAAUGCGCAGAUAUCAGGAGGAACACCGGUGGCGAAGGCGGGUCUCUGGGCCGAUAUUGACGCUGAGGAGCGAAAGCGUGGGGAGCGAACAGG